rnacentral:rRNA from 1 species
GACGAACGCUGGCGGCGUGCUUAACACAUGCAAGUCGAACGGAGUUAAGACUUCGGUUUUAACUUAGUGGCGAACGGGUGAGUAACGCGUGAGGAACCUGCCUCUCAGUGGGGGACAACAGUUGGAAACGACUGCUAAUACCGCAUAAUGUAUCCGGAGGGCAUCCUUUGGAUACCAAAGCUUUAUGUGCUGAGAGAUGGUCUCGCGUCUGAUUAGCUAGUUGGCGGGGUAACGGCCCACCAAGGCGACGAUCAGUAGCCGGUCUGAGAGGAUGAACGGCCACAUUGGGACUGAGACACGGCCCAAACUCCUACGGGAGGCAGCAGUGGGGAAUAUUGGACAAUGGGGGAAACCCUGAUCCAGCGACGCCGCGUGAGUGAAGAAGUAUUUCGGUAUGUAAAGCUCUAUCAGCAGGGAAGAAAAUAGACGGUACCUGACUAAGAAGCUCCGGCUAAAUACGUG